rnacentral:rRNA from 1 species
GAUGAACGCUGGCGGCGUGCCUAAUACAUGCAAGUCGAGCGAACGGACGAGAAGCUUGCUUCUCUGAUGUUAGCGGCGGACGGGUGAGUAACACGUGGAUAACCUACCUAUAAGACUGGGAUAACUUCGGGAAACCGGAGCUAAUACCGGAUAAUAUUUUGAACCGCAUGGUUCAAAAGUGAAAGACGGUCUUGCUGUCACUUAUAGAUGGAUCCGCGCUGCAUUAGCUAGUUGGUAAGGUAACGGCUUACCAAGGCAACGAUGCAUAGCCGACCUGAGAGGGUGAUCGGCCACACUGGAACUGAGACACGGUCCAGACUCCUACGGGAGGCAGCAGUAGGGAAUCUUCCGCAAUGGGCGAAAGCCUGACGGAGCAACGCCGCGUGAGUGAUGAAGGUCUUCGGAUCGUAAAACUCUGUUAUCAGGGAAGAACAUAUGUGUAAGUAACUGUGCACAUCUUGACGGUACCUAAUCAGAAAGCCACGGCUAACUACGUGCCAGCAGCCGCGGUAAUACGUAGGUGGCAAGCGUUAUCCGGAAUUAUUGGGCGUAAAGCGCGCGUAGGCGGUUUUUUAAGUCUGAUGUGAAAGCCCACGGCUCAACCGUGGAGGGUCAUUGGAAACUGGAAAACUUGAGUGCAGAAGAGGAAAGUGGAAUUCCAUGUGUAGCGGUGAAAUGCGCAGAGAUAUGGAGGAACACCAGUGGCGAAGGCGACUUUCUGGUCUGUAACUGACGCUGAUGUGCGAAAGCGUGGGGAUCAAACAGGAUUAGAUACCCUGGUAGUCCACGCCGUAAACGAUGAGUGCUAAGUGUUAGGGGGUUUCCGCCCCUUAGUGCUGCAGCUAACGCAUUAAGCACUCCGCCUGGGGAGUACGACCGCAAGGUUGAAACUCAAAGGAAUUGACGGGGACCCGCACAAGCGGUGGAGCAUGUGGUUUAAUUCGAAGCAACGCGAAGAACCUUACCAAAUCUUGACAUCCUUUGACAACUCUAGAGAUAGAGCUUUCCCCUUCGGGGGACAAAGUGACAGGUGGUGCAUGGUUGUCGUCAGCUCGUGUCGUGAGAUGUUGGGUUAAGUCCCGCAACGAGCGCAACCCUUAAGCUUAGUUGCCAUCAUUAAGUUGGGCACUCUAAGUUGACUGCCGGUGACAAACCGGAGGAAGGUGGGGAUGACGUCAAAUCAUCAUGCCCCUUAUGAUUUGGGCUACACACGUGCUACAAUGGACAAUACAAAGGGCAGCGAAACCGCGAGGUCAAGCAAAUCCCAUAAAGUUGUUCUCAGUUCGGAUUGUAGUCUGCAACUCGACUACAUGAAGCUGGAGUCGCUAGUAAUCGCAGAUCAGCAACGCUGCGGUGAAUACGUUCCCGGG